GCCAGCUGCCAGAAAAGAGAUAACUGCUACUCACCAUAAAUAUUCACCCAGACCAGGGAGAGAGCAAUUAAGGGGGCUGUGGAGAAGUGGAAUUUGAAUGAUUAUUCUUUCCAAAUCAAAGGGAAAUCCCUGAAGCCAGAUGGAAGAGACGGCAUGUGCACAGAUAGCUUUUCUUUCAGCGAAACAGAAGUGGAACCAGAGGUGGUGGUGGUCCUAGAACUCAGGAGCUCAGCCAGGAGGCUCACAAGUUCCAAAUACCCUGGGCUGCACAGCCAGAUCCUGUGACAAAUCCAUCCCCAAAGUCACAGAUGUGCUGAUGGUCCUUAACUUCAACACCUUGCUAAAGACUCAUUACCAGAAGGCUGAGGAAGGAAAGCUCUUAUCUAGCCUCUAUGAACAUGUUAUGGAAGGAUAUGAUGAAAUGUGGAAGUUGCAACCUCAAUUCUACCAUAUACAGAGAAAAGAAGCUUUGGAAUGAUCAUACCUGAGGCUCAGGCUACAGUUUAUCUGCAAUGUAACUUCUCAAUGGGAGCAUCUAAUUCACAAUCAAAAUAAGCAGAACAGAAGUAUGUGUGUAA